CUUGCCUCAGGAGUUGUAACUGACAACAACUUCACAACUGACAGUUGACAGUUGGUGACAGAGCACCCUUCCACAAAGCAGGGUACAGGGGUGAUAGCAGAUGUAACGGGUUGGCUCAGAGAGAGGACCUUUGAUUUUAUUAGUAUACAGAAGUAUCAAGACCACUUCAAUCAACUCUGGUUCAAACUCAGUCACAUAAACUGCACUAGAUAAUGUAACUAGGAGAACAGAGAUGCAGGUGAGGAAACUGAGGCAGGAUUCAACCUUAGGUUUUCUUAAUGCACAAGACUCCAUCCACUGACAUGCUACUUCUCUUUAGUGACGAGCCAACAACUCUCAACCAUAGUUGA
rnacentral:lncRNA from 1 species